rnacentral:rRNA from 1 species
CUGGCUCAGAACGAACGCUGGCGGCGUGCUUAACACAUGCAAGUCGAACGCGAAAGGGACUUCGGUCCUGAGUAAAGUGGCGCACGGGUGAGUAACGCGUAGAUAACCUGUCUUCAUGUCUGGAAUAAUACGCCGAAAGGGGUACUAAUACCGGAUAUUCUUGCUUUUCAUAAGUUAUGCAAGCAAAGGUGGCCUCUGCAUAUGCUACUGCAUGAAGAGGGGUCUGCGUACCAUUAGCUAGUAGGUGGGGUAAUGGCCUACCUAGGCGACGAUGGUUAGCGGGUCUGAGAGGAUGAUCCGCCACACUGGCACUGGAACACGGGCCAGACUCCUACGGGAGGCAGCAGUGAGGAAUAUUGCGCAAUGGGGGAAACCCUGACGCAGCGACGCCGCGUGAAGUGAGGAAGGCCUUCGGGUCGUAAAGCUCUGUCAAGAGGAAAGAAGUGUACAAUGGCUAAUACCUGUUGUAUUUGACGGUACCUCUAAAGGAAGCACCGGCUAACUCCGUGCCAGCCGCCGC